rnacentral:rRNA from 1 species
UACGGAGGAUCCAAGCGUUAUCCGGAUUUAUUGGGUUUAAAGGGUGCGUAGGCGGCCUAUUAAGUCAGGGGUGAAAGACGGUAGCUUAACUAUCGCAGUGCCUUUGAUACUGAUGGGCUUGAAUACUCUAGAGGUAGGCGGAAUGUGACAAGUAGCGGUGAAAUGCAUAGAUAUGUCACAGAACACCAAUUGCGAAGGCAGCUUACUAUGGUGCAAUUGACGCUGAGGCACGAAAGCGUGGGGAUCAAACAGG